CCAAACCUAGAAAAGUCUUAGCUAUCUGUCGAGAGAAAGAAAAAAAAAGAACCCAGAAACCUUCUUUCCCUCUCGAUCACUAUCAGAACUCUAAAUCACUAUCAAAACUUUCUAGCCCGAGUCAAAACACUCUCAAUCACUCUCAAUCGCUCUCAAAACCUAGAUAUCGGGUUCUAGCUCUCAAAACACUCUCAAUCACUCUUACCAAAUCGCCGUCGAAAAUCUCGAGAAAAUAAUCCACACCCUCACCGCCGACGGCCUCUCGGUCCUCCUCAACUGCCUCUACGAUGCCUUCGCCGACCCCAAACCCGCCGUCGAGAAAGAGUCUUUGAGUCCACGUCGAUUUCACAUCCAUCCAUCUCACCAAAGGCUCAAGAACGCCGACUCCGGCGUGGGAGACGGUGUCGCGACGCCAUUGGGGAAAUCUCAAAGCUUUACAUACAGAAGAGAGAUUGGAUUGUAGGAGCUGACGAUUGACAAGUCUAGGCGACUGAAUUUCUGUUUGUUUGAGUGUUUGAUUUCUGCGAAAGGGUGGGCAAAAUUCGAGAGAGAAACCAAAGACGGAGUCCUAGUGGAAGCGGUGGGGAAACUCAAGCAUUAGUUAUACCCAUUCGAUCAAUUGUGGAAGUUUCUUUGUGAUCUGUGAUUUGCUGCCGUGGAUUGGACUAUUGCAGCUCAAGAAAGCAACCACAAUCUCCUAAAAGCUGAGCUGAGAGGUACACACCAAGAUUGAAAUGGGGGGGAAAGGAAUUGUAUUAAAGAUUUCAUCUUUAGUAAUUUUACUAAUAUCCCAUCAACUAAACUGAGUUUCAGUUAUGGGAAUGAAUAACCAAAUCAUUAUGAGGGAGCUCUCACAUGUAGGCAAGCUUGCAAGAUCCGAAUUGCUGAAAGAGUAACUGCACUGGAAGAACUGCUUCCACAAUCUGUAGAGGAAACACCUGCUAUAGUCAAGUCCUACUAUGACAAAAGAAUAAUUGGAUGCCCUGGUGUUGAAGGAGGUAAACUCCUCCAGCUGCAUCUUUUUCUUCCCUGUUGAACUUACAUCAUUCCGCAUUUGCAGCUAACUAUAAUUUUUGGAUAUAUAUGUCUGCUGAGGAUGAGCACGAUGCUAUGUGGUUUUGGCUGGACAA